UACGAAGGGGGCUAGCGUUGUUCGGAAUUACUGGGCGUAAAGCGCACGUAGGCGGAUAUUUAAGUCAGGGGUGAAAUCCCAGAGCUCAACUCUGGAACUGCCUUUGAUACUGGGUAUCUUGAGUAUGGAAGAGGUAAGUGGAAUUGCGAGUGUAGAGGUGAAAUUCGUAGAUAUUCGCAAGAACACCAGUGGCGAAGGCGGCUCACUGGCCCGAUACUGACGCUGAGGUGGCGAAAGCGUGGGGAGCAAACAGG
rnacentral:rRNA from 1 species